GGGGCCUAAACUUGGCAAGUUCGAGCGAAUCUUUUAAAAGCUUGCUUUUGAAGAUUAGCGGCGGACGGGUGAGUAACACGUGGGUAACCUGCCUGUAAGACCGGGAUAACUUCGGGAAACCGAAGCUAAUACCGGAUAAUUUUAAGCAUCGCAUGAUGCUUGAUGGAAAGACGGCUUCGGCUGUCACUUACAGAUGGACCCGCGUCGCAUUAGCUAGUUGGUGGGGUAAUGGCCUACCAUGGCUUCGACGGGUAGCCGGCCUGAGAGGGUGACCGGCCACACUGGGACUGAGACACGGCCCAGACUCCUACGGGAGGCAGCAGUGGGGAAUAUUGGACAAUGGGCGCAAGCCUGAUCCAGCCAUGCCGCGUGUGUGAAGAAGGCCUUCGGGUUGUAAAGCACUUUUGUUGGGGAAGAAAAGCUUCGGGCUAAUACCCCGGGGUUCUGACGGUACCCAAAGAAUAAGCACCGGCUAACUUCGUGCCAGCAGCCGCGGUAAUA
rnacentral:rRNA from 1 species